rnacentral:rRNA from 1 species
GAUGAACGCUGGCGGCGUGCCUAAUACAUGCAAGUCGAGCGAACGGACGAGAAGCUUGCUUCUCUGAUGUUAGCGGCGGACGGGUGAGUAACACGUGGAUAACCUACCUAUAAGACAGGGAUAACUUCGGGAAACCGUAGCUAAUACCGGAUAAUAUUUUGAACCGCAUGGUUCAAAAGUGAAAGACGGUCUUGCUGUCACUUAUAGAUGGAUCCGCGCUGCAUUAGCUAGUUGGUAAGGUAACGGCUUACCAAGGCAACGAUGCAUAGCCGACCUGAGAGGGUGAUCGGCCACACUGGAACUGAGACACGGUCCAGACUCCUACGGGAGGCAGCAGUAGGGAAUCUUCCGCAAUGGGCGAAAGCCUGACGGAGCAACGCCGCGUGAGUGAUGAAGGUCUUCGGAUCGUAAAACUCUGUUAUUAGGGAAGAACAUAUGUGUAAGUAACUGUGCACAUCUUGACGGUACCUAAUCAGAAAGCCACGGCUAACUACGUG